CGUGCAUGUGUGAGUGUGUCUUUCAUUCAUGAAUCCCGGGCUGUUGCUCCUUCUGCAGCAUGGCUUUCAGUACAGAUUACACACACUGGAAACACUAACAACUUUCCUCUUCGCUUGUGUCUUUCUGCCCCGCCCGUCCAGUGGAGUGAUCUUCAGACCGCAGCAGUGCCUUCCCUCACCCCUUACCUCCCGUGGGUGCAGCAGAUGGAAGGAGCAGGGGUGGGGAAGUACAAUGCAUAGCGACUGUCUCCCUGGAGCAGACACAGCGGCCUCUCCAUAGGACAUCCACUCCUUGUGCAGAAGACCCGGAAACAACGAGCCUCCUGGGACCGAACAACUACAAGAUUCUUGGACUUAGAACGCUCAGCUGACCAACACUGGGAGCUGGACUACAGACUCCCACAGCAGUAGAUGUUUCAUUGCUUUGAAUGGAAGAAAUCUUGCUCCAUCAACCACAGAGAGGCUGGCCCACGACAAGCAGGAGAAGUGGAUCCCACCUCUCUCCCUGUGUCCUCCCUUGAAAAGUACCAUUGCACCUGAGGAAGAAGGGAAAGAGCCUACUGAGUGCUGCGAGGGGAGCUCAGGCUGAAGUCAGGACCUGGAAGGUGCUCGUGCCAUUCAAGACUCACUGGCCAAUCAAAGCCUCCAGUCGUGCCAAUCAGAAUAGGAAGCGGGAUCUUCUGCGACCACGCGGCGGCUUCUUCCCAGUAGGUGCACGGGCUCGAAUCCUCUGUCCUGUAACUGGAUGCUGUGGGGCGCGCUCAGGCAGGCUCUGCAGUUGUGGCAUGG